CAAGGCCAGGCACCCAGAGGUGGUCAAUAAAUGUAACAUGUGGCCAGAUUCAGAACAGGUCAUUACUCUGGAAAACAAGCAAAACUAAACAGCCCUCCACGGAAAUAGCUGGCUGUGGCUUCAGGGAGCUACACUUCCAAAAGCAACUGAAAACCUCAGCAUCAAGCCAUGAAGCUCUGGAGGCCGCAGAACUCGCAAUGCAGCUCUAGGGUUCUGCAGGCCUCCUCAGGCGGACACGAUCAGUGCGUGCUGAGCACUCUGCGAGCUCCACACACUGUCCGCGUCACGGCACCGUCCUCAGGCGUCCAGAGUAACAGAACAUCCCUCUCGUGGUUGACGGGGAGAGGACUGGCCUGGGCGGUGUGAUUCUUCCUGAAAACCUGGGCUGACUGUCUGCAAACCAACAUCCUGGUUGCCACAGCUCUGUCGGUUUCAUUUCUCGCUCUUCAAGGCAGACUUCAGUGUCUCCAUAACCCUGAGCCUGGUGAACAGCAGAGUCUACUUCCAGGGAAAGAAAACCUGACAGAGAAACACUCUGCCUCUAAGGGGUGGAGUCAGGCACACUCCUCUUUGUACUUCAUGGGGUCAGCUACAGUCUGACGUGACCACCGCUCAAAGUCCACGAGUAUCUUGGUCUGACUCGGGAAGCUGGCCGAGAGCACUCCGCUCGCUGCUCAUCAGUAUUCACAGAUGCUGCCUUUGCAGAUCCUGGCUUCCCAGGUCUCAGUCCCUCCUUUAUCACCUUGCCUCCCACAGCUUCUAUGUAUUCUCUGUCCCAUCAUUUCUCACUCUUGUACUGUAAACUGACUUCCAUUUAUUUACUCCUGAAGCCUAUUCUUACCUCAGGGUCUGUAUGCCUCUGUGCUUGCAGCCCAUCUGCCUAGGUGUCUGCAGUGUUUGCCUACUCCUUUCAAAGAGGUCUCUGCCAAAAUGUUACCUCUCCCAAGAGGCCUUUCUUGGCUGUAUCUAAAAUAAUUUCAAGUGAUCUCCCUUCCUUUCAGUACCUAGUUACUGAGUGCUAACUACAUGCUAGGUACUAAAGGCAUAGUGUCUGUAUUCUGAGAGUCAAUAUUAUAGGGAGGAAAAACGGAUGCAUACGGGUAAAGACACACACACACACACACACACACACACACACACACACACACACACCCCAAAUAAAUGUCAUUGCAAACAAGUACCAGACGAAAAAUGGAUGUAGAAAU